GCUGCGUGUUUUUUUCACGGUUUCUCAUUCUCGGUCGCUAGGCUUUGAGGGUGCUGGGGUUGCUGCUGCAGAGACCAGAAAGGCAGGCGUGGCGCACCCAGAACUCAGACCGAGCCUGCUUAACACCCUUGGCCGGGAGGGUGACCUGCCAUGCACCUGAUGCUUGUGAGCCCCAGAUACGGGAAGAGCUGUCAGCUCCUGCCCGCCCCAGCAGCCCUGGCAUUCUGGAGCCAGAAUGCGACCUUAGACCUAAAGAGAGUUUUUGCAGCCCACCAAGUGCUUCCUUUCCCUUUAAUCCCUUGACAGCCUCUCCUCAAGUGUCCUCUGAGGUUACUUUGGAUCCUAGAACUGUAAGAGAUGAGACUUUCAUGGAAGAUUUGAUUUAUCAUAACACAAUAUGAAUCUCUAAGAGACUAAAUCCAGCAGCCACUUUCACCUUAGUAAUAUUUCUCCCCAAAAUAAAACUAUAUGAAGUAUUUCA